ACCAAGCUCCUGGAGUGCUGGUGAGGGGCGACAGAAAGAGAGAGGGGGGGGAGGAAGAAGAAAAGGAUGAGACAGGGAGGGAGAGAAAGAGAGAGACAGAGAGAUGAGUAGAGAAGAAAGAAAGAGGUAGAAAGUGAAUAAAGAGUGGAGAAUGCAAAGCAAGGAAAGUAAAAGAGUGAGAAGGGAAGGGGAGAAGGAGGAAGUGAAAGAGGAGGGAUACAGAGAGAAAGGGACAGACAGGAUGGAGGUGUAGGAUGGGAAGACAAAAGCGCUAAAAAGAAAGAGAUAGAGAGUCUGAUUAGGAAGGAGAGGAAGGAGUUUUGAGUGAUAGCGAACAUACUGUAGAUGAAAGCUUUCGAAGGAGUGGGAUGCUGAGAAGCAUCAGCGCUGUCAGAGCAUGUUCAGCCCUCAGGGACAGCCGGGGGGCGGCCGUCAGCCUUUAUUUGGAGAGCAGAGGGUUUUCUACACUACCUGCAGCCCUGGAAUCAGCUGACAGGUCAAGUCAUAGCGUGUGACCAGCUUGGCAUCAGAUCAUGGGCCUUGAAGUGACGGAGCAGAGGAAGAUGCUGUGUGCAAACUGCCCUCCAGUGGAGACAGUGUGUACUUCAUGCAUGCUGAUCUCUUGGCCUCCAGUCAGAGUUACUUAAUGUUAGCCAUCUCUACUACUCCUGCAGUCAGCUGUUUUAAUUGUAGCCUAAGCCAUGAGUAUACUGCAGAGGAAAGGUGAGUGUAUCUCUACUUUCAUUGCCAAUAUGGCAGAUCUCAUCCUAAAUGCUUCCAAUAAAAGGCCACUCCACUGUGUGCGCCGCCGUCUGAGAACAAAAAGGUAACAUGAACACUGAGGUGAUAUCUUGUCAGUGACUCGUUUCUGUCACGGGGUCACUGAAGAUGAACUUCCUUUCGCACUGCCUCUGCACUGUACUACAGUACUGUGGUGAGUGUGUGAGUGUUGAGUGUGAGUGGGUGGGGAGGGUCAGCUGGUGUUGUGAAUCAGGCCGCUGAAGUGUCAGACACGGCUUCUUCACAACACCAGGGUUCCUCCCCACCACUUCCUGCUGGGAUACAUGACACAUCUGCAACAUGACAGUAAUGUCUGUCAUCAGUAAUGUACAUCAGCAUGUGUGUGUGCUUUCAAUAAAUGCUGCUGUGGAAUUAAAGGUCGGACACCUGAAAUGAUCCUCCUGCAAAGAUAUGUGAUUUCUGGAAGGGAAUCGUGCACUUAUAAAUAAAAUAUAGUGUGUCCAAAACUGUUGUAAUUUUUUGGUGUGCAAGAAUAUUUGUGCUUCAUUCUAAAAAAAGGCUAUUGUUUUGCCAUUUGUUAUGCUAUAUUAUCUUUAAAUGUAUGUGGAGUGACCACACAUACCACCACAGAUGUGCUCAUUGUAUUUUCAUUUGUUUUAGAGAUUUCUUAAUAUGGAUAUCAGCUCAAAAGAGAAUAAAGGAAAAGACAGAUUUUGUACAAGUGGAUUUGUCUGACAGAUUGGAAAUAGGUGAGAAAAUCUUACUGCAUUGGACAGGCUUCUUUAAUUUCAACUAUUUAUACUGAAAUAAAUACAGAUUUGGUCAACACUUGAUGUAAACCCUAAUGCCUGAGUGAUUUAAAAUUAACAAUAAUGGAGUUGAUGCAGAUGCAUUUAUAUUCUAUGGGCUGAAUAAUGUAUGUUCUGACAUAAAAUGUUAAAAUAUUGUUGUAAUCAUUUGUCUUUGUGACACCAAUGAAUUAUUUGUACAUGUAUAUUUAAUACAUGUUUUAAAGAAGGAGAAGGUGUACAUAUACAGUACAUGAAAUACACAAGUUAUGGACGUUUAAUUAGAGAAGUUUGAUUUUUGGGGGGUGAACACUUUUAAGAAAUGUUCUUAAAUUUGUCUGUUUUUCAUCCCAUCUUAUUUUACACUAAAAUACAGACACUCAUUUCAGAAUAAACUUUGACAGUGAAAAGAAAAACUUGAUUGGGAACAAGCCGACUUAUCCUAAUUAAUUGUUUCUCUUGUUACAGUGUGAGAAUCACAUCUUUCAUGCCAAAUCUAAGACUAAAUCACUUGUUUAGAGGGUGUUUUUUUUUUUUUUUUUUUUACAUUCUAAUUUAACAGUGCCAGCUGUCAUGUUGAAUGUGAAACAUAUAGCUCAUGCAUGAGCCUGAUUAAGAUUUAGUUCUGGGUAGAAUGCUCUAGAAUCAGACAAUGACUGGACUCGAUCCAUACAUGCAUCGACUGCUGGCAGCAGAACCUCCACGUGUACAGUUAGCAUCCAUACAGGCCUUCAGACUUGGCUCUGGAUUAGGUCACUGUACGAGUAUUGAGUGAAUGUCUGAGUGGUGAAUAAACGGCUGAAGGAACAACA